CACCAUAACUAAAAGGCAACAUAACAUUUAACAGUGAACUAAGAAACUAAAGCAUAUGCAAUAUUUUAGUGCACAAUGAAAAAGCCAAGAUAGCGAAUGCCAAACAUAUCACACAGAUUAAGGAGGAAAAGUAGAGAUAAAGGAGGAUUAAAGCUCUGAUUAGUAUUCUAUUCUUUCAGUUACUAAUUCUAUUCUUUUAUAACAUAUUAUACUAUAGAUGAGAUCAAGGUAUAUGUAAUAAGUUCUGGAAAUUAAGCUGAUCAAUAUAAAUUACUCAUUUACUCAUUUGAUAUGUAUUAGUUAGUUUAGUUAGAGGACAUGUUAGUUGGAGGAAUUUGUAUUGAAGAGAUUGAUUUGAACUUUGUGUUCAUCGGUUGAACCAAUCUGGGUUGCGCACUCCUCAGUGUACACUUCAAGGCACCCUCACGAAACCACAAGAUUUGAGUGUACCCAAGGGUUAUAGAAACAUGUAGUGUUUCUACUGUGCUUGUGUUUUGAUGAGAUCUUAGUCCUCAUUGUUUGACAUCCCUGCGCGCCUUGUUUCAUUGUGGGGGAAGAGGUUCGGAGAAGAGGUGGAUCAAGAUCUUAAUAUUUACCUGCAAGUGACGUAGACAGGUUUUUAAGGAUGCCUAGAAAACUAAGGUACAAGA